UGAUUCAUCUAUCCUCAUAUCCCAAUCAGUGGACAAUCGGGCAUCUCAUACUAUGGAGAAUAGACGAGGAGGAGGUCGUUUUGGAAGAUCUAGACCCUAGUGUUCUUAUUGUUAUAAACUUGGUCACACUCGUGACGUGUGCUAUUCUUUAAAUGGUCGACCAUCCAAAAAUGCUUAUGUUGCUCAGACCGAGACUACAGGUAACAAGGGAUUUUCUGUGUCUGAAGGGGGUAUAAUGAGUUCCUUCAAUAUCGAGCAAGUAAGCAGACAUCUCCGCAAGUAGCCACUGUUGCUCAGACUGAUACUUCUGUUGCUGGUAAUUCUUUUGCUUGUGUUUCCCAGUCUAGUCCUCUUGAACGAUGGGUUGUGGACUCAGCUGCUUCUGAUCAUAUCUCUGGUAAUAAAUUCCUUUUGUCAAAUAUUGCGUAUUCA
rnacentral:lncRNA from 1 species